rnacentral:rRNA from 1 species
CCUACGUGUGACAGCAGUGAGGAAUAUUGGUCAAUGGGCGCGAGCCUGAACCAGCCAAGUAGCGUGAAGGAUGACUGCCCUACGGGUUGUAAACUUCUUUUAUAAAGGAAUAAAGUGAGGCACGUGUGCCUUUUUGUAUGUACUUUAUGAAUAAGGAUCGGCUAACUCCGUGCCAGCAGCCGCGGUAAUACGGAGGAUCCGAGCGUUAUCCGGAUUUAUUGGGUUUAAAGGGAGCGUAGAUGGGUUUUUAAGUCAGUUGUGAAAGUUUGCGGCUCAAACGUAAAAUUGCAAUUGAUACUGGCAGUCUUGAGUACAGUUGAGGUAGGCGGAAUUCGUGGUGUAGCGGUGAAAUGCUUAGAUAUCACGAAGAACUCCGAUUGCGAAGGCAGCUUACUAAACUGCCACUGACAUUGAUGCUCGAAAGUGUGGGUAUCAAACAGGAUUAGAUACCCUAGUAGUC